UGAUUUUCACGCUACUGAUUUUGGUCAUUUCAUCUUCUUCAUCAGCCUAUUUAUUUUUCAUCCUUAGUAUUUCUAUUCAUGCCUUCUUCAUUUCUCCAUUUUGUUCCAUUUCUCUCUCUCCACUUUUCAUGCUCCGACUGGAUUUACCUGUUGCAAAUGCAACUGAUCGGUCACCUCUAAUUCUACAUGUUUUCACACUUUCUUUAUCUUUAAUUUUCUCCUACUUAUCUCUUUCUCUAUCUUCUCCAUUAGAGUUAAUAGUGUUCUGCUAUGGAUACACUCUCCAAACCACACAUGCAUCCUAAUAAGCCAGAUAAAAUCCAAAAGCGUAAGGACGGAAUGAAGAGAAUAUUUUCGAGUAUUGCUACAUUUUCCUCAAUUCUUUCUUGGUUCCUUAAAAUAGUACCACAAUCGCACGCUUUAAGGAAGAAAGCGAGGAAAUAGAUGAGGUCAUUCUAUCUACAAGGUAGUAAAUUAUUAACUUUUUCUUUGUGAUGGGUUGUUUGUAAUACGAUUUAUACAGCAAAGUUGUUAUUAAAAUGAAAAAAGAAGAACAGAUAUAACAAAUUGAGUUCGAUUCAUUUGUUUGGCAUGGUUGUCCUUUUGAACUAAAUUGCAGAUUAAAAGUUUGAUAAAUUUGGAGCUUUUGGUCGAAGUAAAUAGCUCCCACUUUUUAUCGAGUAUGACAUUUUGAAAUGUAUAAUUGAGCCCAUAAGGUUAAAAUGAUUUGGAUCUCAUAUGAGAUCAGAAGUCUUACUUAAUUUAUAGUUGUGUCCUGCUUUAUUUUUUUAUUUGCUUGCUAGGUUCAAUGUCUCAAUAAUGGUUAAGAUAAUGAAUGUCAAUUUGUAGCAGAAAAAUAAUUCCAUGCAUAUUCCAGAGGUUUAAGGUCACCAUAAAAGAAGAGAACAGAGAAUAUUUAAUUUUUCUUGGUGUUUGCUAAAUGAUUGCAACCUAUAAUGAAAUAAAACAGUUUUCAUCUAGCUUUUGAGUGAAGGGAAGAGAUAAAAUAUAUGUUUUUAUACUCAUAUUGAAAAAACUUAUUAAAGGAAUAUAUUAUAGUAUAUGUUUUAUUGUUAACAUGGUCUUUUGACUUAGUGGCAACACAUUGUAAGUUAAACUUAGACUAUUUGUAAUACCUUAAAACAGAAGGAAUGUGCGGGGCAAACUUCAUUAACAAAAAAGGAAUGUGUGGGGCAAAAAGUUAACAAUUAUAUAAGGUUCUAGCUGCUCUUAGACUAGCAAAAGAGUCUCACUGGCAUAUUGAAUAGUGUUGGGUUCUGAUUUAAUAAUCAAUAUAAGAAUAUACUUUCAUUCUUUAUCAUCACUAUUUUUAUAAUCUCAUAAACUCAAUUGUUUACAUAUUGUUAUAAAAGCAGGUGAUGUUCUAACAUUCUCUAUGUCACCAGAAACUUUAAGCAUCUACUCCAAGAUUCAUUAGAUAAUCAAGUAGUACAUUAAUUUUGGAUUCCUCUGGACAUUCUAGAUUUCAAAUACACUCUUUUCAAGGAUUUAAGUUUACUUGAGUUUCAUUUUAUUCUCUAAGGAUUAAGUUGGUAGUUCUGUAUUGCAGGUGGAGACUUGAAUUCGUUGAUUUUUGUAAGCGUCCUCCUUUCUUAUAAGGACUAAUGUAAAAAUUUAAGUUCAUUGAAGUUAGUUACAGGUGGAAGACGGCGAAACUGGGAGAUAUAGGACUUUUUACAGUUAGAAAUAUCCUCUCUGGCACUUAUCUUCCUUUUGUCUUUUGCAAUUUUGCUGCUUCAACCAAUCAAUGACGGCAUGUACCUCCCAAAAUGGUGUCUUAAGGAUUUGAGAAACAUUUCGACGUACUAUGGAGCUUUUGUGGAAAAAAUAUUAAUUUGAAUUGGACAACAUAUUUAAAGUUUGUGAACUGGUAGCAGAUGCACUGAAAAUGCCUAAAUCUGAAAUCGUGGACCAUACAUGAGUGGAUCUGCUGUUUAUUUACAGAUCCACUUGCUUAGGGUAUGCCUUUGUAAUUAUUUAUAAGAUUUGUGUUUCAUCUGUCCUUUUUUCUACAGACAGUACAAUAUACAAGAUUGCAGACUCAACUUUUCUUUUA